GUCUAAAAAAAGCAGAAGCUGGAAGAGCCAAGGUAGGCUAGGGCAGAACUCUUGGAGCAGAGAUGACAACAAUAAACUGAGAACAAUGCUUGUCCUUUAUUAAUGAUCCCAGAGAGACAAGGACAGCACCCUUUACAAAGCCAAUUGGAAGGGGCAUGGAGAGUCAACCAGCAGGUAAUUGAUUUGGGAAUAGGCAUAUAACCAAUGCUCACCAAAGAUAGGUCUGGAAAUGGUUUCCAUACUCCUGUGUCGCAGGAAGAUAGGGAUUUUAUAUUCUUCUGGAUAUUGUCUGUCUGGAUAAGAUCCAUGUUGCUGACACCAAGAAGGAGGCCAGUCUGUGAUCUAAGCUGAGUACAGUGUUGAGAAGAAGCAAUCAUGGUAACAGCAGCUUAAACGAAGUGGAAGUUUCUCUUUCUUACAUUUCAAGAGGAGUGGAAUCCGUCAGUUUGGGGCUGAUAUGGUGCCAUAUGUUGUUAGACACUCAUUCCUUUUCCACCCUGGCAUCCCUUGUUUCAUGGCAUCCUGCACAUCAGCAGCAACAAGAAGAAAGAAGAAUACAAGAAGAAAGAACAAGAUCAUGGGCCAGGAAAUACUUCAGUAAAGGCAUGAUUACAUGAUUCCCAAGAAGUUCAGAAGAAACUGCUGUGUGAUUUGCUUGCUAUGUUCCUGCUCUGGGGACACAAGACAUUGUUUUUGAAAGGUGACAAUUCUCU
rnacentral:lncRNA from 1 species